rnacentral:misc_RNA from 1 species
GUUGUAACAAGGUAGCCGUAUCGGAAGGUGCGGCUGGAUCACCUCCUUUUUAUGGAGAAUUGAUGAACGCUGUUCAUCAAUAUAAGUUUCCGUGUUUCGUUUUGUUCAGUUUUGAGAGAACUAUCUCUCAUAUAUAAAUGUAUGUUCUUUGAAAACUAGAUAACAGUGUAGCUCAUAUUUUUUAAUUUUUAUUUGGGUUAAUUUAAAAAGGGCGCACGGUGGAUGCCUUGGAA